UACGUAGGGGCCAAGCGUUGUUCGGAUUUACUGGGCGUAAAGGGCGCGUAGGCGGUGUGACAAGUCAGUUGUGAAAUCUCCGGGCUUAACUCGGAACGGGCAACUGAGACUGUUGUGCUAGAGUACAGAAGGGGCAAUCGGAAUUCUUGGUGUAGCGGUGAAAUGCGUAGAUAUCAAGAGGAACACCUGAGGUGAAGACGGGUUGCUGGGCUGAUACUGACGCUGAGGCGCGAAAGCUAGGGUAGCAAACGGG
rnacentral:rRNA from 1 species